rnacentral:rRNA from 1 species
UACGAAGGGGGCGAGCGUUGUUCGGAAUUACUGGGCGUAAAGGGCGCGUAGGCGGCUUGACAAGUCACUUGUGAAAUCUCCGGGCUUAACUCGGAACGGCCAAGUGAAACUGUCAUGCUAGAGUGCAGAAGGGGCAAUCGGAAUUCUUGGUGUAGCGGUGAAAUGCGUAGAUAUCAAGAGGAACACCUGAGGUGAAGACGGGUUGCUGGGCCAACACUGACGCUGAUGCGCGAAAGCCAGGGGAGCAAACGGG